GACGAACGCUGGCGGCGUGCUUAACACAUGCAAGUCGAACGAUGACGACCGAGCUUGCUCGGUCUGAUUAGUGGCGAACGGGUGAGUAACACGUGAGCAACCUGCCCUUCACUCUGGGAUAACCUCGGGAAAUCGGGGCUAAUACCGGAUAUGAGCUCCUGUCGCAUGGCGGGUGUUGGAAAGUUUUUCGGUGAAGGAUGGGCUCGCGGCCUAUCAGUUUGUUGGUGAGGUAGUGGCUCACCAAGGCGAUGACGGGUAGCCGGCCUGAGAGGGCGACCGGCCACACUGGGACUGAGACACGGCCCAGACUCCUACGGGAGGCAGCAGUGGGGAAUAUUGCACAAUGGGCGAAAGCCUGAUGCAGCGACGCCGCGUGAGGGAUGACGGCCUUCGGGUUGUAAACCUCUUUCAGCAGGGAAGAAGCGAAAGUGACGGUACCUGCAGAAGAAGCGCCGGCUAACUACGCG
rnacentral:rRNA from 1 species